GGCCAUAUUGCAUGUAUUUAUUUUUGUCUUAAAACAAGAAUUAAAGGCUGUUUUAAUUUGGUGCAGGAAUUUGGGCAUGGACGGCAUUUAAUUGCUGCUGAUUGCUCUCCUCCAUGCAUUCCUUCAUGAACAGCAAGGGCCUUUUUGGGAGUUUCUUUUCACUUUCCAAGGCAGCUCAAUUCAGCUCUUUAAUUACCUUGGAGGACGCCCCAGCUGAUAAAUAAAUUUUUGCUAUCUUUUGGCCAUUCAGUUUCAUGAGUUCACACACACAAGGCUGUUCCUAUUUGAUGUUCACACCAUGGGCUGUUGGAGAUCCCCAAAACGUCAUUAAAAAUGGGCAAGCUAUUCAGCUCACAAAGAGGCUUCAUUAAGGUGCAUUCCUUCAUUGGCCGAACCAAGACCUCUUAUUCAGCUCACCAAUACUUCCAUUAAUGUCCAGCUGAAUGGACUCCAUCUAGAAGCUGCCCAAUUGAAUUCUUCAUGCAUGAAGCUUCCCAAAAAUGUCCUAGGAAGGUUGCUGGAAAUUUCCAGCCUCUUUUGUUUUAAUUUUGGCUGACCAUUCAGCAUCUUAUUAGCCAUUCGACUACCUUAGGAAUUUAUAUUAUAAAUAGUUGUUUUGUAAUCAUUUUGGGGGUUAGACAAUAUACUUUUAAACUUUAUAUGAAAUCUGAUUACUUUGUGAGUUUGUUUUCAACUCUCAUUGUUCUCCAAAGACUCGUCUGACUUAUCAAGUAACCCUUAUGGCGUCAACCCGUCUUUCUAUCUGAACUUAUCACUUUAAUCCUGAAAGUGUGGCGUUCGAUUCGUACUGAGGUUCCUAUCAUUUUUGAUAGAGGGUCGAAGUUUCUAUCCACUUAACAAACCUUCCAUUGACACCUUACCAACCUAAGCAUUCUCAUAAGUUACGGGUUAAAACACUACUAUUGUGUUAGUUCGGCUUUUGAAUCCUUAGCCAAAUUACAUCCAUUGUCUUCUAAUUCAUUUCCUAAACCAACAAAACUCUUUUGAGCCUAAAUAAUUCCUUUUCUUCUAGCCUAUUUUGUAAAGAUUUCAAAUUACUCCAAUUCACGAUCGGGCACAUCUACGACUCGACUCUCCUUCCCGAGCCGGGGCGUAUCAUUUGGCAUCAGAGCUAGCUGAAUCGGAGUAAGAUCGACGUUAUCGGUAUUACGGUAUUGUAAAAAAAAACUUGAAAAAAAAAAUCAAAAAAAAAAUUCAAAAAAAAGUUUGUAUUCAAUUUAUUUUUAUUUUUGUAUUUAGUAUUGAAGGAAGAAAAAGAAGAAAAAAAAUUUGGAAUUAAAAAAAAAAGAAGAAAAAAAAAUUGAAAUUGAAAAAAAAAAGAGAGUGAUUGAAAUUCAUUUUGGGUUUGUAAAAGCAUUGCUUGUUGCCCGAAGGACCAUAUCUAUAUAGCCACACUUAACCAUUUCUAUUUUGUUUGAUAGCCUACCAUUUCCGACAUCAUUACCCACCAAGCCAAAUCAAUUUUGUAAGCCGACGCCAAACGGUAUUGAUUCGUCAACUUAGUUUGCGAAGAACUUCGAGAGGCGAAAAAUUGAGUGGAAAAAGGCAAGAGUGAUUGGUGAGACCAUUUGUGAGAAGUAAAAGCCAAGUUGUGUGAAUUUUCUUUGCGAGUGAAACGUGAAUUUUUUGUGGUGAGAAAUUAAAUCAUGUCUCAAGAAGAAUUUUCCGAAUCAGAAUUCCAAUAUUUGAUGCAAGAAAUGCGUAGAAUGGUAAAAUUAAAAUUUGAUAAAUUGCAUUAUCGUUUGGACCGAGUGGAGGAAAAGGCCCGAUGGAAACAAAAUCUACCAAGUCGAGAAACGAAGUUAAGAUCAUCCCGACGACACUACUCGACAAGAGACUCUUAUCAAGACUUCUAUUCAACAAGGCGUUCGAGACCAAGAAAAGCAAACUCUGAGUUUGAGUCUUUCCGAGAUGAUAAACGAAAAGGUAAACGUGUCUCUACAAGUGCCUCAAUUUAUUCAUCUACAAAGGAUUAUUUACGAAGAGGCGAACGUGUUUCAAGAGUGUCAAAGUACUCGACUACGGAAGAUCUAUCACAAAGAGAAGAUUGCCAUUUGUAUGAAGAACCCUUUUCUUAUUCUCAACAAAAGGUUUCUCUUUUUGAUGAUUUAUACUUUUGUAAUGAAAUCGAAACAUCAUGUGAAAAAGAAAAAGAGUGCGAGUGAGAAAAUGAAAAAGAAAAAGAAAUGACAGAAAAAGAAGAUGAGUGUGAGAUAGAAAAGAAUAUUGAAAAUGAGAUUGAGAAUAAAAACGAAUGUGAAAAAGAAAAGAAAACUGAAAAAGAGAGUGAGAUUGAAGAAAGAAAUGAGAGUACAAAAGAAAUGAGUGAUGUGAUAAAAGAAAGAGGAUUUGAAAAAGAGUUUGAAAAAGAAACUAGUGAAAAAGACGAGAGAGAACAAGAAAAAGUGAGUGUUGUUUUAACUAACCCACAUGUAAGUUGUCCUUGUUCUGUUUCCUCUUUUCAGAUUCCUAAAGAUUCGUGUGACGAGUUUCAACUACAAUAUUUCCCUGAUGAGAGGUGAUUCAAGUUGAUUCAAAAAGGAAUGAUCGUAAAUGACCCUAAUCCACCAGCGCCUAAAGGUAAGCACGGUAAGGGUUCUAUGCUAGUCGAGCUUCAACAAAUUCAUAUGCAUGAUAAUUGUGAGAUUGCCAAAGAUUUAGUUAGUAAAAUACUUUCCUAUUCUGAUUUGUCUAAGUAUCAAUUUUUGAUUGGUGAUGACUUUGACUGGAAUGAUGGAUUGAAGAAUUUUCCUCAUGAUAUGUCUGUUGUUGAUAAGUUUGAUGAUGAAGCAAGAUUAAAACAACACAAACAAAAUUUGGGAUGGUGUGAUGAAAAGUUGUUAUCUAAUUUGUUUGCUUGUGUUGAUCAUGUGAAUUAUCUAAAUUGUGGUGUGAAACUUCCUUGUUUACGUGUGCGAAUGAAAUUUAAAGGGUACGAUUGCUUGAAUGUAUGUAUGCCUAACUCCUAUUUGCUUGACAUGUGUUAUGUCUUGGUGAAGAAGAAAUUUUUGUUGUGUUACAAAAUGACCAAUGAAAAUCGCAUUUUUAAACCCGGGAUAUAUAUUCCUAAGUUGACGUCAAGCCAAGAUAAGUAUCAAGGUGAGUAUCAAAUUGAAAUGACAAAAGGAAGCUUUGUCUUUGACCCUGGAGAUUAUUAUUUUUUGUUCUUGUUAAAAAGGCUUGGAUUUUGCAAUUCUGAUUUUAGAGAUUAUGCUUUUCGACUGACUUGUGAUUUAGGUUUCUGUCCAUUGGAGAAAAAGGUAAGAACGGUUUUUACUUUUGAUCCCGGCACUGGUUCAUUGGUUCAAUUUUUGCAUAAGAUCUUACGAAGUUCUUGUGAACUUAAUAUAGACCAUGGUGUCACUAAUCUAUUUAAUUUUUGUGUAGGUGACACUUCGGAAUGGUUCCCUCCAAAAGAGGGAGGGUGUGGAAAUAAUUCAAUUUCUUAUCGAACCAUUUGUGAUUUUCAAAGUUUUAGAAAUGAUUCUAUUCGGAUCAUGAACAAAAGGGUUCGAGAUCUUGAAAAAUUUUUCUUGAGCAAGUGGCCCGAUUUGAGGACAAAUCGCCUUAAAGAGGGAGGGGAUGAUACGACCACGCCCCGGGCACUUUUUUCGAUCAGCUCCAUAAGUAUUUCUUGCACACCCAUGCGAGCUAAAUUAGCUCAAUUGCAUCUCACUGAGCUCUGUUUAGUUCGUUUCCAGUUCAAUGGGAUCGUUUUUCUCAUAUUGAGUUUAUUUUAAUUUUACAAACUCAUUUGCUGGAAUAAAUUGAAUAAGUUAAUUUAGUUAUUUAAUUUAGCUCAAAUAAGUGUUAGUAAAUUAAUUAGUUUAAAUCUGAACAUCUUUAAUAUUUCUUGAGUUUAAUUGAUUGUGUUUUAUUUAGUACAGCAAUUUAAUAUGUCUUAGUUAGCUCAUUACAUCAUUUAAUAUGUUCCAGCCUAAGACAAUUUAAUUGACGAAUUAAUGUGUAUUUUUUAUUACAGCUAAUUGUUGUGUCUUGGCUGCUGAUUUAUCAUGUUUAAGUCAGCUGAAUUUAUGAGCAGAAUUAAUGUGUCCUUGUGUGGUUGACGAAUUUAAUAUGCCUUGUUGACCAAAUUUUAUUUUGUCUUUAACUUGAGUUAAUGGCUAAUUUAAAUGUGUACAGGUGCAUGGAAAUGGGGACAAAAAUUAAAGAAGGUUUAAUUCUUUGCUGCCGAAUUUAAUGUUCCCACAAUGGAUUUAAUUUGCUGAAUUAAUUCAUGUAGGUACCUCCUUCCUUGGACGGUAUUAAAGGAGCUGCUGGUGCUUUUUCAUGUGGCCAUUUAAUGGACAGAUUUAAUGGGUGCAUGCUUGCCGAAUUUAAUGUGCAGCAAAGACAAGCAUUCAAUGAGAUGUUGAAGAAAGCAUGUUGGAAUUCAUUACAGAAGCUACUGCCGAAUUUAUGGGCCAUAUUGCAUGUAUUUAUUUUUGUCUUAAAAAAAGAAUUAAAGGCUGUUUUAAUUUGGUGCAGGAAUUUGGGCAUGGACGGCAUUUAAUUGCUGCUGAUUGCUCUCCUCCAUGCAUUCCUUCAUGAACAGCAAGGGCCUUUUUGGGAGUUUCUUUUCACUUUCCAAAGCAGCUCAAUUCAGCUCUUUAAUUACCUUGGAGGACGCCCCAGCUGAUAAAUAAAUUUUUGCUAUCUUUUGGCCAUUCAGUUUCAUGAGUUCACACACACAAGGCUGUUCCUAUUUGAUGUUCACACCAUGGGCUGUUGGAGAUCCCCAAAACGUCAUUAAAAAUGGGCAAGCUGUUCAGCUCACAAGGAUGCUUCAUUAAGGUGCAUUCCUUCAUUGGCCGAACCAAGACCUCUUAUUCAGUUCACCAAUACUUCCAUUAAUGUCCAGCUGAAUGGACUCCAUCUAGAAGCUACCCAAUUGAAUUCUUCAUGCAUGAAGCUUCCCAAAAAUGUCCUAGGAAGGUUGCUGGAAAUUUCCAGCCUCUUUUGUUUUAAUUUUGGCUGACCAUUUAGCAUCUUAUUAGCCAUUCGACUACCUUAGGAAUUUAUAUUAUAAAUAGUUGUUUUGUAAUCAUUUUGGGGGUUAGAC
rnacentral:lncRNA from 1 species